rnacentral:rRNA from 1 species
AGCGAACGCUGGCGGCAGGCCUAACACAUGCAAGUCGAACGGAUCCUUCGGGAUUAGUGGCGGACGGGUGAGUAACACGUGGGAACGUGCCCUUUGGUUCGGAACAACUCAGGGAAACUUGAGCUAAUACCGGAUGUGCCCUUCGGGGGAAAGAUUUAUCGCCAUUGGAGCGGCCCGCGUCUGAUUAGCUAGUUGGUGAGGUAACGGCCCACCAAGGCGCCGAUCAGUAGCUGGUCUGAGAGGAUGAUCAGCCACACUGGGACUGAGACACGGCCCAGACUCCUACGGGAGGCAGCAGUGGGGAAUCUUGCGCAAUGGGCGAAAGCAUGACGCAGCCAUGCCGCGUGAAUGAUGAAGGUCUUAGGAUUGUAAAAUUCUUUCAGCGGGGACGAUAAUGACGGUACCCGCAGAAGAAGCUCCGGCUAACUUCGUG